rnacentral:rRNA from 1 species
UACGUAGGGUGCAAGCGUUAAUCGGAAUUACUGGGCGUAAAGCGUGCGCAGGCGGUUAUGCAAGUCAGAUGUGAAAUCCCCGGGCUCAACCUGGGAACUGCAUUUGUGACUGCAUAGCUAGAGUACGGUAGAGGGGGAUGGAAUUCCGCGUGUAGCAGUGAAACGCGUAGAUAUGCGGAGGAACACCGAUGGCGAAGGCAAUCCCCUGGACCUGUACUGACGCUCAUGCACGAAAGCGUGGGGAGCAAACAGG